UAAUACUACUCAACGUGUUUCGCAUCCCAUACGAGGAUACAUCGAGGAAAAGCUAUCCCCUUACGUGACAACUGCGCUUACUAUGGCAUUUCUUCCAGUCUCAACAGUUCCGCUUUUUUUUCAGAUAAAAACUCUUUGGAACAUUGCUCAUAGCAAGGAUUUAUUUCGUAAUUUUGUAUAAUGCAUUUACACAACUGUAAUAACUUCUCCUCCAGGGCAUUCAUCUCUUCAAUGGAUUCUACUGUGCAAAAGGUUGGCGAAGGGGUAUUAUCCGUGAGGCUUAAGCAGGUGUUUUGAUUCACCAACAGUUGUUGCAUCAUCCCGGUCAGAACAUCGAGCUUGUUAUUCAUUACAUCGUUCUGGACCUUUAGCUGAGCUACCAUUCGGCGUAAAAUCAUACAUUCUUUUGCCAAAUCAGUUGGUGCUGGCACGUUGUUG